CUCCUGCCCCAGACCUCGCCGCCGGCGUCCAUGUCGUCGUUCUCCCACCGUCUCCCUGCCCACACCCAAACCCGGACCCGGCGGAGGUGGCUCCGGAGCCGAGACGGAGCGAGGAAAGUGGUCUCUCCACUCAUCCACUUAGCUCUUGCGGUCUCGCCUUUCCCCUCCCCUCCCCCGCGAGCCCGAGGACCGGCUGAAAAUUGGAAAUGCGCUCGUCUCGGUCGGUCGGACCGUCGGAGCGCGUGACCGCUGCACAUGACCAGCCGGAAGAAACAGGUAUGGAUGAGCAUCUCCUGGUUCAAGUUGCAGAAUCAAUGUCUUCGAUAUUGUCAGAAUCAAGCCAUAUUCCAGAUUCCCCAUAGCAUUUGAAAUCUGGCACGAGCAGAAAUUUCACCCUUGAUGAUACAAAUGGGCAAAUGGGCAUUUGGAGAUAGGUGCUAUCACCUGGAGCUCGCAUUCAAACUGAUAUUGUACCUGCAAGAGUACAACAUCCAGCUGUCUCGGCUCUCCACACAAACAUCCAUAUCAGGCAAUCAGCAGCGUGAUGAAGAAUCCAUGCAGAUUUUGUAUUUUCAGUUGGGAAUAAAAGGUGAGGACAACUGGCUGCUACAUUUUGUACUCUUUAAUUCUGCAUAAACUUCGGAAUAAGUGCUCCGUACUGUGCCAAAGCUUUUCCUUCACCUUUUCUAGUCAGCAUGUGUGCAAGAUAACAUUAGGCCUAUUGGUAUACAAGAGCUUUGCAGAAGACAAGUUAUAUCUCCAAAAUUCCUACAAUCCCUUCAUACAAAACGGGCCUUAAAGAAAGCAUGAGGUAAAAUGGUACCAUCAGUUUUUCCAGAAAACAUAACUGUAUGUAGUACCAAGAGCUUGAGGAAAAAAGAUUGAGGGAAACCAACUAAGAAUAGGAUCCUCAACCUAGUAUCUGUGUUGUUUAAGUGGUAUAAAUCAGUGUUUCCGAAGAAAUUUGUCGACCAAGGAGGGGGGCCACGGAUACCUUUGGCAUCAAGGGAGCUCUGCCCAUGGUACGAACCAGUUGUUGACAUUUGGAUAACUAGUUUGCAUGUGUACUGAUACAAAAUUUCUAGGGGACAUGCUAAUGUACGGUGAGAUCACAACCAACUUUUUUUAAUGGAAUAUGCUCAACAUAUCACAAUCUUGUUGGAAUAAAGUUACAGUGUUGCAGAUCAGAUGGGCAUCUCCACCAGGACCUUGCUAGCAGAAAGGCAGAAGAUCAACUUUAAAAUUGCUGAAAGUUCUCGCAUGACAAUCACAAGGGAAAGGCACCAAGGAAUUUCCCCGCACCGCAAACUACCUACACCUGACUUCCAUGGAUGAGCUCUCGCCGUGCAUGCCAACCCUCUCCGCUGCGGCUCUGCCUAUGGUUCCUUACUGUUAGAGGACCAGCUGUAAACAGCGCUAAAGUUCAUCUAAUCCAGGUCAGAGCUGAAUCUAUUCUAGUGGAGUGCAGUCUUAUCAUUUGGCAAUCCUGCAUCUACAAAUUGGCAGAUGCUUGCAGCAUAUAUACUCGUUCUGCAAUUAUUUGUCAUGAUGAGCUACAGUACCAGCAUUGACAGGAUGCAGUGGCAAAAUAGACCAGGAACAAGAAAACAGAGCAAAUCAGUGCCGUAGUUGCCAACAGGGUGGCGGCUUGCUGAUGGGUGGGCCCAGAGUCUGGGUCCGUGUGGAUUGCACUCUGUUAUGUAGAACGAGAAUGACAAGUGGACCCAAUAGUGGCUGAACGAGAGUGAUGCAGGCGACACUGCUACUCUUCUUUCUCGAGUAGCAAAAAGUGACGGUUAUUCUCCCCAAUCGCUUAUCUCCUUUGUGUUCUCCCUCCCCCCAUUUUUCUGUGUUGUUCUGGUCUUGCCAUGACGGCGAUCAUAUCUUAGGUGAUGGGGACAUAACAUUGUUGCAGCAGCUUAUGCUGACUCCUGUGGGGCUAUGUAAUCUGUCCUAGAUUUUCCCUUUCGAAGGGCUUACAAGUUUGACGUUUGGCGUUGAUUUUUCUUAUAUCGCUGUCAUUGAUUUACUGGUUUCUCUAGCAAUCUCAGGUCAAUUAAUCCAGUGUGAAGAUCAGAACAGUGUGAUAACACCCAGCAGCAAGAAUGGGUUGGUCGGAGCAAUUCAGGGAUCUGGUUAUCAAUACUGCUGUAUAUUUACUUAUCCUUCACCAGAGUAAAGAGGCAAGCCUAGUCGUUGAUCCGAUAUUUUGGAUGGAUCUAGCGGUUCAGAGUGAAGUGAUAACUAUGCACAUUCAUCUGGAGCUGUCAUAGAUGGAUGGGGUUCAAACAUGGACUCAGAUCUUCUUGACGGGUUUGAAUGAGGAACGGGAUGAGAGCAAGACCUAAUUUGGACAGGAUGCCAACAUUUUCUACUAGCAUACACACCGUUAGCGUCCAUCUUAAUCCUAUUUCAGGGCCCUAGUUUCUGAAACUUCUGUGUAUCAUAUUUCAGGGCCCUGGUUUUUGAAACGCCUUAUAUUUUGUUGAAACAGUGUUGCUAAAUCUCAGUUGACUGAGAUUUGGUUAUGUCUCAGUCAAUGCUAUAUUUGUGAGAUUUUGCAUGGAGAUUUGUGCAGAAAAUUAAUUUUAGUUUUUUUUCUUA